GUAAGGUGGAGCUAAUCCCUUAAAGCUACUCUCACGUUCGGAUUGUAGGCUGAAACUCGCCUACAUGAAGCUGGAGUUACUAGUAAUCGCAGAUCAGAAUGCUGCGGUGAAUUGGUUCCCGGGUCUUGUACACACCGCCCGUCACACCACGGGAGUUGGAGACGCCCGAAGCCGAUAUCUAACCUUUUGGAAGAAGCGUCGAAGGUGGAAUCAAUAACUGGGGUGAAGUCGUAACAAGGUAGCCGUAUCGGAAGGUGCGGCUGGAUCACCUCCUUUCUAAGGAGA
rnacentral:rRNA from 1 species